UGGGGAAUUUUGGACAAUGGGCGAAAGCCUGAUCCAGCAAUGCCGCGUGUGUGAAGAAGGCCUUCGGGUUGUAAAGCACUUUUGUCCGGAAAGAAAUCCUUGGCUCUAAUACAGUCGGGGGAUGACGGUACCGGAAGAAUAAGCACCGGCUAACUACGUGCCAGCAGCCGCGGUAAUACGUAGGGUGCAAGCGUUAAUCGGAAUUACUGGGCGUAAAGCGUGCGCAGGCGGUUUGCUAAGACCGAUGUGAAAUCCCCGGGCUCAACCCGGGAACUGCAUUGGUGACUGGCAGGCUAGAGUAUGGCAGAGGGGGGUAGAAUUCCACGUGUAGCAGUGAAAUGCGUAGAGAUGUGGAGGAAUACCGAUGGCGAAGGCAGCCCCCUGGGCCAAUACUGACGCUCAUGCACGAAAGCGUGGGGGAGCAAACAGGAUUAGAUACCCUGGUAGUCCACGCCCUAAACGAUGUCAACUAGUUGUUGGGGAUUCAUUUCCUUAGUAACGUAGCUAACGCGUGAAGUUGACCGCCUGGGGAGUACGGUCGCAAGAUUAAAACUC
rnacentral:rRNA from 1 species